GAUAGGUUAAGUUAUAAAGGGCGCAUGGUGGAUGCCUUGGCACUAGGAGCCGAUGAAGGACGGUACUAACACCGAUAUGCUUCGGGGAGCUGUAAGUAAGCUUUGAUCCGGAGAUUUCCGGAAUGGGGGAACCCAAUACUUUUUAAUCGAGUAUUAUCAUUAAGUGAAUACAUAGCUUAAUGAAGGUAGACGAGGG
rnacentral:rRNA from 1 species